rnacentral:lncRNA from 1 species
GAGAAUGAGAGAACUGACAAGUAAAGGAUGAUGUAAUGGAGUAGCUGGGCAGUAACACAGCAGCAUAUUUGGUGGUUUAAUAGGAAUGGCCCCCAUGGACGCAUGUGUUUGAAUGCUUGGCCACAGGAAGAGGCACUAUUAGGAGGUGUGGCCUUGUUGGAGAUUAGCCAACCUCAGACAAGCUCUCUUAAUCACCGUUCCAUGCCGAGGAAGGAAAAUGGACCCAUUAUUCGGAGGAGUAAAACUGACUUUUUAGCCAUGUACAUGGACAUGGUAGUGGUUUGAAUGAAAAUGUCUCCUCUAGGCUCAGAUAUCUCAAUGCUUAGCCUCUAGUGGCUUAGGAAGUGUGGCCCUUGCUGGAGGAGGUGUGUCCCUAGGAAUGGACUUUGGAAUCUAUAUAUAGUUUGUUUUCUCUGUUUAGAAGAUGUGAGCUCUCAGCUCCUUUCUUUGGCUCCCCGCCUGUCUUCUGCAAUGCUUUCCCAACAUAAUGGACCCUCAUCUUGCUGGAAACUUAAGCCAAAAUAAACUCCUUUUAAAAGGUG